GAUGAACGCUGGCGGCGUGCCUAAUACAUGCAAGUCGAGCGAACAGACGAGGCGCUUGCUCCUCUGACGUUAGCGGCGGACGGGUGAGUCACACGUGGAUAACCUACCUAUAUGACUGGGAUAACUUCGGGAAACCGGAGCUAAUACCGGAUAAUAUAUUGCACCGCAUGGUUCAAUAGUGAAAGACGGUUUUGCUGUCACUUCUAGAUGGUUCCCGGCUGCAUUAGCUAGUUGGUAGGGUCACGGCUUACCAAGGCAACGAUGCGUAGCCGACCUGAGUGAGUGGUCGGCCACACUGGAGCUGAACCACGGUCCAGACGACUACGAGAGGCCGCAGUAGGCAAUCUGAGGCAGUAGGCGGGAACUUGACAGAGCGGCGCCAAGUGUGAGGUAGAGGUCUUCCGUUCGUGAAAAUCGGUUAUUAGGGAAAAACAGAUGUGUAAGGAGAUAUGGAGGUAUUGACGGUACCUGAUCAAGAAGCCACGGCUAACUACGUG
rnacentral:rRNA from 1 species